GCUGAGAAUCUAAGCGCCGGUAAACGGCGGUGGUAACUAUAACCAUCCUAAGGUAGCGAAAUUCCUUGUCGGGUAAGUUCCGACCUGCACGAAUGGCGUAACGACUUCCCCGCUGUCUCAACCACAGGCCCGGCGAAAUUGCAGUACGAGUAAAGAUGCUCGUUUCGCGCAGCAGGACGGAAAGACCCCGGGACCUUCACUACAGCUUGGCAUUGGCGCUUGGAGCGUCUUGUGUAGGAUAGGUGGGAGACUGUGAAGCCGGCACGCCAGUGUCGGUGGAGUCGUUGGUGAAAUACCACUCUGGUCGUUUUGAGCGUCUAACCCGCACCCGUGUAUCCGGGUGGGGGACAGUGCCUGGUGGGUAGUUUAACUGGGGCGGUUGCCUCCCAAAAUGUAACGGAGGCGCCCAAAGGUUCCCUCAGCCUGGUUGGCAAUCAGGUGGCGAGUGUAAGGGCACAAGGGAGCUUGACUGUGAGACGGACGUGUCGAGCAGGUGCGAAAGCAGGGCCUAGUGAUCCGGCACCUACGUGUGGAAGUGGUGUCGCUCAACGGCUAAAAGGUACCCCGGGGAUAACAGGCUGAUCUUCCCCAAGAGUCCAUAUCGACGGGAUGGUUUGGCACCUCGAUGUCGGCUCGUCGCAUCCUGGGGCUGGAGUAGGUCCCAAGGGUUGGGCUGUUCGCCCAUUAAAGCGGCACGCGAGCUGGGUUUAGAACGUCGCGAGACAGUUCGGUCCCUAUCCGCUGCGCGCGUAGGAGAAUUGUGAGGGUCUGUCCCUAGUACGAGAGGACCGGGACGGACGGACCUCUGGUGUGCCAGUUGUCCCGCCAGGGGCACGGCUGGUUGGCUACGUUCGGUCGGGAUAACCGCUGAAAGCAUCUAAGCGGGAAGCCUUCCUCGAGAUGAGUUCUCCCACCCCUUU
rnacentral:rRNA from 1 species